UACCCUUGGAGUUUCCCAAUGGAACAACUCCAGUGACAUGUCGUGUAUGCAUAUAUGACAACCCAGUAGAUAGUAAAGUUGGUGUAUGAUCAUUGAUGAAUAAAGCUUCUGCCCCUUUACUUCCUAAUGGUAGUCUCUACAUGGAAGAAGUCCAUGUUAAGGUAAGGGCAUUUUCAUCAUUUCACUUAUAUCAACAAUGUAAAUCUUUUUUUUUGUGUUCAGCUAGGUGAAGUAUUAUGGUUUACAGUAGGUGGACAACAUAUCCCUUUUGAUGCUUCCCCACAAAACAUUUGGACUGAAGUAGGUUGACCAGAUGAACAGAUUAACACAUGUGAGGAAAAUCUAAGGGUUGCCCUUAUCGUCAUUUUAGAAAAUCUAAGGGUUGCUCUUGCUAAAACGGGAGUAAGCAGCAGAAAAUUGGAGCAAGUGGUGGAUAAGGCAAAAGGGAGACAUUAUCAGUUAGCAUGCACUUUAACCUUUGAAGCUAUUCAUGGAGCUUCUUGUUAUUUAUAAUAUGUUUGUGACUCUGGAAUAAAUCAUCCAAAUCAUUACUCUAAAGCCAGCCAAAACAUCCUUAGAGAAAAGGUACCUAUCAUUUGGUAAAUAUGAGUGAAACCAAUUGAUAUCUCAAGAGCUAAUUGUUGAUUGCUUAUCAGUGUACAGGUAAAGUAAUUUUAUUUGGCAAUUAAGUUGUUAUUUUGUAUCUAUAGUACAUACUUAUGUGUGUUUUCAAGGUCUUUUAAUUGUUUUUUUGGUCUAAAUGAAGAAGAUAUAUAGAGAAUUGGUGCUGAUUUGAUGCUAUUUAAAGAUGAUUAGGUCAUUCAAAUAGUUUUUGGACAUGUUUGCCAUGUUGCUGGUGGAAACUAGCUUGUUGUGCAAAUAGCCAAGUAUUUUAAGGCUCAUGCAUGCAAAUUUGGAGACUUCAAUACUCCCACUUGCUUAUAAGGUACUUCUAAAGUUCCAGGUGGCAAUCCAAUGACACGAAGGACCCGGUUAUAUAGUUAGGGAUGCAGUAUCAUGUUAUAUAGUUAGGUAAAACCCUUUAAUAACAAUGUACAAUUAGAUCCCUUUAAUAUCAAUGUAUUACAAUUUUUUGAUAACUUA